GCUCACAUAGCUCAGUUGGUAGAGCGUCACCUUGGUAAGGUGGAGGUCGUCGGUUCAAUCCCGAUUGUGAGCUCCA
rnacentral:tRNA from 1 species